rnacentral:rRNA from 1 species
CCUACGGGGGGCUGCAGUGGGGAAUAUUGGACAAUGGGGGCAACCCUGAUCCAGCCAUGCCGCGUGUGUGAAGAAGGCCCUCGGGUUGUAAAGCACUUUCAGUGAGGAAGAACGCCUGGUGGUUAAUACCCAUCAGGAAAGACAUCACUCACAGAAGAAGCACCGGCUAACUCCGUGCCAGCAGCCGCGGUAAUACGGAGGGUGCGAGCGUUAAUCGGAAUUACUGGGCGUAAAGCGCGCGUAGGUGGCUUGAUAAGCCGGUUGUGAAAGCCCCGGGCUCAACCUGGGAACGGCAUCCGGAGCUGUCAAGCUAGAGUGCAGGAGAGGAAGGUAGAAUUCCCGGUGUAGCGGUGAAAUGCGUAGAGAUCGGGAGGAAUACCAGUGGCGAAGGCGGCCUUCUGGACUGACACUGACACUGAGGUGCGAAAGCGUGGGUAGCAAACAGGAUUAGAUACCCGGGUAGUC